AGAAACCAACAAAGAUUACCAACCAGAUCCAACAAUGUUAGCACGUGGUAUCCUAUUUUCUAGAUAAAUAUCUCUGGAAGUAGAAGCUGACAACCUUUCUUGGUUUCUCAUGAUCUAUGACAAACAUUCAUGCUUGUGAAGAAACACUUCAAAAUUUAUCCUCAAACCUUUUUCCCUGAACAUGCAAAUUCCCAUAGUUCUAGAUGGGCCAUUUAUUAGAGCUAGCGUCAGAGCAGAGUUGACGAGCCCUAAAUAACUAUACCUCAGUGUCAAGUGUACUGAGCGCGAGGGCCACAAUUUCCGAAAUAUUGUGAAUCAAAGUGUGAAUGCCCCUUCGAAAUCCUAUAUAUCCCACCCCCGUGUUCUAGCCAUUUACUAGAGGAGGCAUAAGUGAAGUACAAUUUAACCAUGUCGGCAUGAGCAAAUCAUAUUAGUGAUAAGUGAUAAGUGAUAAGUUUGAGUCAUAGUAUGAAUUUGCAUGUGGAGAUGCAAAUUUUCAUAGAUAGAGAGAAACAAAAUACGAAAGGGAGAAGCCGAAUGCAAACGGGGAACAAAUGCAAACAGCAAAACUUGAACCCAAGAACUCUUGCAACCUAAGCUCUGAUACCAUGUUAAGUUACACAUAGUCCCAAAAGCUUAAGUUAGAAAAUGGACUCAACAAUGUAUAUCAAGCUACCUAACAGGCACACUCGUAUAGGCACAUGUCUGAAGCGAAGUCCCACAUCACUUGUGUACCAAAGUAAUACAAAGUAGAGGUGGCAAUUUGGACCCAACUUCAUGGACCCGCCCAAAUCCAUCCAUUUAUAAUUAGCCCAAACCCACCCAUAUCCAAAUCUGGUUUCUAAUUGGGCCAACUUAAUAAACCCAUUGAUUUUAUGGGUUUAGAUGGGUAGGAAAUGGGUCUCUCACUCUCUCAUUGGAGUUUCUUUACCUCGGUAACCUCACUGGAAUAAACAAAGAUAACACCCGUAAAAAAUACCCUUCAGAUUCAAGCAAUGCAGUCUCAAAUUCGUCAAUGAAGAUGUUGACAUACCACAAAUGGAGCCUGCUAACGGAACCAGCUUCGAUUUUGGGAUCAAUCGUCCUCAUGGAGUCACGGUCGUCGUCGCCAACUACCUCUUCAUCCAAAACGUCUCUCUCUCUCUCUCUCUCUCUCUCUCUCUCUCUCUCUCUCUCUCUCUCUCUCUCUCUC